ensembl:misc_RNA Metazoa_SRP Metazoan signal recognition particle RNA
GCCGGGCAACAGGCACAGUGGUGCUGCCUGUACUACUCAGGAGGCUCAGGCUGGAGGAGCUCUUGAACCCAGGAGUUCUGGGCUGUCGUGCACUAUGCUAGUCAGUGUCUGCACUAAGUUCAGUAUCAAUAUGGUGACCUCCCAGGAAGAGGGGACCACCAGGUUGCCUAAGGAGGGGUGAAAGAACCAGCCGAGGUCGGAAAUGGAGCAGGUCAAAACUCCCGUGCUGAUCAGUAGUGGGAUUGCACCUAUGAAUAGCCACUGUACUCCAGCCUGGGCAACAUAGCAAGACCCCAUCUCUU